UGCCCCAGUAACGGCGAGUGAAGCGGCAACAGCUCAAAUUUGAAAUCUGGCUCCGGCCCGAGUUGUAAUUUGUAGAGGAUGCUUUUGGUGAGGUGCCUUCUGAGUUCCCUGGAACGGGACGCCAGAGAGGGUGAGAGCCCCGUAUAGUCGGCCACCGAUCCUCUGUAAAGCUCCUUCGACGAGUCGAGUAGUUUGGGAAUGCUGCUCAAAAUGGGAGGUAUAUCUCUUCUAAAGCUAAAUAUAGGCCAGAGACCGAUAGCGCACAAGUAGAGUGAUCGAAAGAUGAAAAGCACUUUGAAAAGAGGGUUAAAUAGCACGUGAAAUUGUUGAAAGGGAAGCGCUUGUGACCAGACUUGCGCCGGGUUGAUCAUCCAGUGUUCUCACUGGUGCACUCUGCCCGGCUCAGGCCAGCGUCGGUUCUCGCAGGGGGAUAAAAGCUUCGGGAACGUGGCACCUUCGGGUGUGUUAUAGCCCGCUGCUUAAUACCCCUGUGGGGACCGAGGUUCGCGCUCUGCAAGGACGCUGGCAUAAUGGUCAUCAGCGACCCGUCUUGAAACACGGACCAAGGAGUCGAGGUUUUGCGCGAGUGUUUGGGUGUAAAACCCGCACGCGUAAUGAAAGUGAACGUAGGUGAGAGCUUCGGCGCAUCAUCGACCGAUCCUGAUGUAUUCGGAUGGAUUUGAGUAAGAGCGUAUAGCCUCGGACCCGAAAGAUGGUGAACUAUGCCUGAAUAGGGUGAAGCCAGAGGAAACUCUGGUGGAGGCUCGCAGCGGUUCUGACGUGCAAAUCGAUCGUCAAAUUUGGGCAUGGGGGCGAAAGACUAAUCGAACCAUCUAGUAGCUGGUUACCGCCGAAGUUUCCCUCAGGAUAGCAGUGUUGUUCUUCAGUUUUAUGAGGUAAAGCGAAUGAUUAGGGACUCGGGGGCGCUAUAUAGCCUUCAUCCAUUCUCAAACUUUAAAUAUGUAAGAAGCCCUUGUUACUUAAUUGAACGUGGGCAUUCGAAUGUA
rnacentral:rRNA from 1 species